UACGUAGGGUGCAAGCGUUAAUCGGAAUUACUGGGCGUAAAGCGUGCGCAGGCGGUUUCGUAAGUCUGUCGUGAAAGCCCCGGGCUCAACCUGGGAAUUGCGAUGGAGACUGCGAGGCUAGAGUGUGUCAGAGGGGGGUAGAAUUCCACGUGUAGCAGUGAAAUGCGUAGAUAUGUGGAGGAACACCAAUGGCGAAGGCAGCCCCCUGGGUCAACACUGACGCUCAUGCACGAAAGCGUGGGGAGCAAACGAGG
rnacentral:rRNA from 1 species